rnacentral:pre_miRNA from 1 species
GUGUGGUGGGAAUGGGAGAUUGGAGAAUUUAGAAGUUGUGGGAAUGGGUUCUUUGGAAAGAAAUAUAUUCACUUCACUCUUUCCAAUUCCACCCAUUCCUAUUAUUUCUAAUUUCUCCUCCCUUUCCCCUCCUUCA